rnacentral:rRNA from 1 species
GACGAACGCUGGCGGCGUGCUUAACACAUGCAAGUCGAACGGAAAGGCCCUGCUUUUGUGGGGUGCUCGAGUGGCGAACGGAUGAGUAACACGUGAGUAACCUGCCCUUGACUUUGGGAUAACUUCAGGAAACUGGGGCUAAUACCGGAUAGGAGCUCCUGCUGCAUGGUGGGGGUUGGACAGUUUCGGCGGUUGGGGAUGGACUCGCGGCUUAUCAGCCUGUUGGUGGGGUAGUGGCUUAACAAGGCUUUGACGGGUAGCCGGCCUGAGAGGGUUACCGGCCACGUUGAGACUGAGAUACGGCCCAGACGCGUACGGGAGGCAGCAGUGGGGAAUAGUGCACAAUGGGCGGGAGGCGGAUGCAGCAGCGCCGCGUGCGGGAUGAAGGCCUUCGGGUUGUAAACCGCUUUCGCCUGGGACGAAGCGUGAGUGACGGUAAUGGGUAAAGAAGCACCGGCUAACUACGUG